CUGUUUUAGAGGGAUUGAGGUGUGUUCAGUCUUAUUAGCCUGCUGUAUUUUGAAAGCUUCAUCACUAAGAUAUAAAUAAGAGAAAGGAAGAGGUACCUAAAGAGAAGCAGCAGCACGCUCAGCUCCUCGCUUAGUGUCUUCAGUGUGCUGCAAAAAUUGGUGCACAGCAGACGGAUCCUGAAUCAAAGGAUCUUGUUGUUGUCAGCGUUUAGCAAACACUAAAGCAGGACAUCUCAAAGCUGCACCAGCAAGGAGGAAGCAACUUAACGAACUUCUUAAACCCCUAAAAUCACUGAAGGUACAGCAGGAUUCUCCAACUGAGAGAAACCAGGAAGGUAACAAAGUCCAGAGGAAGUGGACAUCACAGCAGUAACCGGAUGGGAGGCGAAUCAACUCUGUACACAGACACCGGUGAAAAUAAUGAGGGCGAGCCAAUCACAAGGGAGGGGAACCAAUCACACCUGGAGGAACACAAGAAAACGUGGAAGGAAAAAAAGAGGCAACAGUCAAACCAUCCAGCAUGUGAGGACUGUUAGAGGGCAGCUGCCGUUAAUCAAGUGUCUGCAGCGAGUGGGUUUGAACAGGAGGACUGGGAAGGUUUCAGGAAGAAGAGUUCAGUGAUCACUCACCUGUGUGCAGUCUGAUGAUGACUGACCCAGAUGUUGUGGGUCUGUGGACAGGAAACAGACUGUGUCCCCUGUGAUUUGGUCUAUAAUGGCUGCGAGUCCAGAAAAUUUCCACCCGAGGACAGAGUUGGAGAUUCUACUUGGAGUGAUCAUGCUGAUUGGCUGCUGCGGGUGGUGGUUAGCAUGUUCACUCAACACACCAAAGACUCCCGUUUGAGACUGUGAGGAGACACAAACUCAGUCUCAGUGCCUAGCCUGGAUAAAUGCGAGGGUCGUGUCAGGAAUGACAAAAUCCAAAUCCUCGUUGAGGAAAAGUACGAGCUGGUUGUCUGCUGACUAUCAACAUCCUCCAGAGAGCGUGCUGUAUCCCUUAAAUGCAGAUAUAUUUUGCCAGUGUUUACAUUUCCGGUGGAUAAAGAGCAGUAAAAGAAGCCAUCUUUGAAUGGAGGGGCUGGCU